rnacentral:siRNA from 1 species
UACACUUAGAAACAUUUGCUUAGU